rnacentral:lncRNA from 1 species
CUCCCUCUUAGGCACUUCUCCUUUCCUCCCCCAGAAACGCACAAACGAGAGCCCGUGUGUAAGCUCAUUGCUUCGUUGCUUCAGCAUUAAGAUCCGCUCUGCACUCAGCUGUCAAGUUUGUCUUGACUCUGAGUAACGUAGGGAUGGUCUAUCGUAAAAGAGGGAUGCUUUAGGGAGACGGCUCACAUGAGCUUUAGAUAAAUGUUUGGACUUGGCCGGUGGCUUUCCAUCAGUCAGAUGUGGAGCAAGGAGGUGCAGGGAGUAAUUAAUGAGCCACCGUUGGCACUCAAAGCGCAGCCUCAUUAAAUGCUGUGUGCGUUGGGCUUCCUGUUGAAAUAACAGGAGCGAGCUGGUCAGAGCCGUGCUUCUCACAUGGCACGUGGGAAGCUGCUGGGGAGGUGUCAUCGCUCCUCAGAACAGCAAUGCAAAACAAAACCCAGCUCCGAGGGUAGAAAGCAGUAGGCUGCUGGAAGAGAUGCUAACAUGGGUGGUGUGCUGUUACAACAAGAAUUCCAGAACCACAUCGCUCUGCCAUGAAUGAAUAUUGACUCGUGAACAGGUGAGCCUGCUGAUCAGCACACAUCCAGACCUGUGGUUUAAGGACAGUGGCAAACAGCUGAAAAAGUAUUAAUUACUGUCACGGUCUUCCAUUGACAUUAACUGCAUUUUGAAUGCCUUCCCCAGUGUGCCCAAAUACCUUAAGAAAUGCUCUCAAUGAAGGCACUCGGUUCAGCUCGGGCCCAGUCCAGAAAAAAACAGUGUUUGUCCUCAGAGGGAAAUAUUAAAAAGAAAUGGCCAAAACACACUCACUGUCUCUUGUCUGGAGUAAACAGCCCUCGCUCAUCAGGAUAUUGCAAAAUCUCAAUGUCGUCUUUGCAUCGGUCUCAGAAAUGCCUUCUUUCAUGUUUGAGUCUAUUAGAUUAUUUUAUUCUGGACAAUGACUCAGGACAUAAUAAGCCACAUGUUUAUCACAGCCAUGUCAGAUAGCUGGAACUCAUGCUAUCUGAAGUGAACUGUGGGGAUUUGCGUAGGUUUCGGCAAGUACAAAACAGAUGCUCUUCCCAGUGGCUCUGGUUUAUGUAUGUACAGGCAGUGAGUCUGUGCACAUAUUCCUUCCCUGGCUGCAGCAUAAGCAAACCUCGAUCUUCACUCCUGAAGAGAUUAAUCGUUCAGGCUGAGGCUGUAUUUCACCCUUAAUAAUUCUUGUGGAAACUGUGCCCCUCUGGAACAAGGAACAAAACAAAGUCUGGCAUAAAAUUUGUGAGAGCUGAACAAAAUUCAGCUGAACCAAACCAGCUGUUGAACUCUUUUGCACAGUGGCUCCAGUAAAUUGGGAAUAUGAUCACUUUUUAGGUAGUGCUGAGGUUUCUUUCCCUUCAAGAGAAUUGUUAUGGCAUACAUAAAUUUCUAUUCAGACUUCUUUUAAAAAUCCCCA